AAGACUAUAGACCUGCGGAGUACCUGCGGAGGGAUCAUUAUCGAGUGAAGGGCUCUCUAAGAACCCGACCUCCCAACCCUUGUGUUCUUUACCACUUUGCUUCGGUGGGCCCGUCACUGUGGUGACCGCUGAAAGGUUAUAUAUCUUUAAGUAGCCUUUGGGCCUGUGCCCGCCAGGGGAUACCUGAACACUGUAAUGAAAAAGGUUGUCUGAGUUAUAAAGAAAAUAAGUCAAAACUUU
rnacentral:misc_RNA from 1 species